CUACCCAGAUUUCUGCCGAGUCUUCUCGUCUCCCGACUGCUUGCCGACGCCGCCGGGAUUUUCCAGUUCCUUCCCCUCUUUGGAUCUCGCUGCUGGCGUCGUCGGGGUUUGCUCAUUCCUUGGCGUCUUCCCAUCGCCGCUCCUCCUCGCCACCGCCCAGCGAUAAGGCCUGAUCUCGCCGGAUUUCACCAAAGUCACUGUGCAUCAACCAUGCAUGCUGCCAUCCGUUCCUCUAUCCCUAGAUUCGUGGACGGGUGGCUCUGUCUUCCAUUUCUGCCCUAGUCUCCGGCAAUUCCUAAUUCAUCUGUCAUAAUGCUUGGCUGCAAUGAAGCAAAUUCGACAGGGAACUGGAAUUAAAUUGUUGGUUCUGCAAACGAAGCUGAAUUUUAGGGUGUUCAAACUUGUUUAAUAAGGUAACUGAACCAAGUUUAAAAUGAAUUAAGCCUUUGAAAUACUUGUUCAAACUUAACUUGGUUUAUUUUUUA